GAUCAUGGCUCAGGAUGAACGCUAGCGACAGGCUUAACACAUGCAAGUCGAGGGCAGCAUAGAAGUAGCAAUACUUGGUGGCGACCGGCACACGGGUGAGUAACGCGUAUGCAACCUACCUAUCGAGGGGGGAAUAACCCGGCGAAAGUCGGACUAAUACCGCAUAAAACAGGGGCACCGCAUGGUGAUAUUUGUUAAAGAAAUUCGCUGAUAGAUGGGCAUGCGUUCCAUUAGGUAGUUGGUGAGGUAACGGCUCACCAAGCCGACGAUGGAUAGGGGAACUGAGAGGUUGGUCCCCCACACUGGUACUGAGACACGGACCAGACUCCUACGGGAGGCAGCAGUGAGGAAUAUUGGUCAAUGGGCGGGAGCCUGAACCAGCCAAGUCGCGUGAAGGAAGAAGGAUCUAUGGUUCGUAAACUUCUUUUGCAGGGGAAUAAAGUGCAGGACGUGUCCUGUUUUGUAUGUACCCUGAGAAUAAGGAUCGGCUAACUCCGUGCCAGCCGCAGC
rnacentral:rRNA from 1 species